CCAUCGCUCGUUCAGUCGUCGUUGCGUGUUGUAGGUGGCCUGGUCUACUCAGCUCCGUUUCGACUGCUCCUCCUCCAACUGCUGUUGCCACUGCGUCUGCUGCUGCUGCUGCGGACUGCUGCAUCUGCAACCUGCCACACUCACACCACGGCAACAGAAGUAGACGCGUCGCGUUCAGUCUUCGUUCUGCAGCAUAGCGUCAUGUCGCGUAGUGUUCGGCCCACAAAGAAAAAAAAAGAAAAUACACCAUAAUAAUAAUCCCAGACUGUAAGGUGACUGAACCGAUCCUUAACCCAUCACCAUCCUCCCAUCUUCCCCACUCAAGUGCCGCGAAUGUGUGUCAAUUAAAAAGUCUCGUCUGAGUGAGUCGCGUGUUUAAUUUGCGGCACGUUCCCCACACACACUCGCUAUCAAUUUAAUUAAAGCGCCACAGACAGACCCAUAAAUAUCGCCCAACUAUCUAACCAAGCUGCAAACGUAAACCAGCUCAAAAUUAAACACAAUAUUGCGGCCAAAACCGAACCAAACCGUCCAAAACUGAAUUCCCAGCCAAAGAGAGAUAAAGCGAUUGAUGGAGGAGGAGAUUUUGGGAGGGGAAAACCUAGCCCCGAAAAUCGAUAAAAUGAAUCGUUUAAACAUUGCGGUCAACUGAAUCCACAUCGAAUUUUCAAUUUUCGGGAAACCACAUGUAAAAUACAAACUACUCCUGGGCUAAAAUUGCCAGAACUUGGUCAACAACUUUAUGAAUGUAUGUUACAUAAAAAAAAUACCUACACGAUGGUCCGAAAAAAAAGCAAUGGGAAAAUCUUCAUCUACAACUGCCAACAUCAGGAAAAAAGCAAACUUUGCUUUGCUACCCACUUGAUAUGUUAAAUCUGCGUAAAUUUAUCAACUUUACUAAUUAACAGCAUUUCCCCCUUGGUCGCUGGCAAUUUUUCAGCCCGAGGGCAAGCAGAAACUAGUCCGAAAUCUGUUUACAUUUGCAACAUGAGAAAUUGUUGGGCCAACACAGCAACACGGGGGCCAUAACUUGUUAACGGUUUCACUUAUGUAAGUUCAUUAGCAGCAGAACCUGGCCAUCAAUCAAAUCAGCAGACUGGCCAACUGACUUGGCCAACAUCGCUUUGGUUAGUUUGCGUUUUGCGGCUCUCGACUGCAAAUGAAAUGAAAAUUAGAAUGAGCACACACACAUGAAGUUCGACUGACGGACUGACAGACAGGUGAAUGUUUGUGUGUUUUGAGCAGGUGGAUUGUAAAUGCAGGACUUUCAGUUUGAGGUUCCGGGUUCUCUGUUCAGAGAUGGAUACCUGGAAUAGAGGGUUGGAUGGAUGGAUGGUUGGUUGGCUGGGUGGUUGGAUGGAUGGACAAUGCCCGAGGGCUACGCGUUGUCACGUGAGCGGCGAGCUGGGCAAUCAACGAAUCAGGCAACCAAUCAAGCGGCGUGUGACAUGCAACUGAAGCGUCUACGUGACCCCGAGAUACACAGAAUCCCGAACCAUUCCAAGCGAAAACCACCCAACCACAGUGGUGCCACUGCUCAAUUGCCUUUGCUUUGCAUUCAAGCCAAAUGGAAACUGGUCUUUAUAUUUCAAAGCCAAGAAAUAGAAUUAGUUGAUAACCAAAUACAAAAAUUAGAAAAUAAUUUAACUUAAGGUUUUUCUUUUAUAUACCUCUUUUCAUUACCUUUCCAUUUGUUUGAAAUAUUAUACUUAUUUAUUUUUAUUUCACGAUGGCUCCAAGCGAGUGCUUUUAGUUAUAUAUUCUCUAAAGCUUUUGCUAAUUAGUUUUUAGCAUUAUUUAAAACUUUUCACUUCAGCACUUCUAAGUGAGAUGUAGAAAUUUCCCAAAUUCGCUUUAGCCACCUAAACUCAUCACUGCUUUCGCAGUUCGUGGCUAUAUCACGCUGCGUUUCAAACUCUCUCGUUGCAUUAUGGACUGGCCGAACGUGCGUUCGCCAGCCUGCGAGUCCUGUGAGUCCUGCGAGGCAAGGACAUGGCCCCCAGACAGCCAGUCUUCCUCCUCGCAUGUCAGCACUCCUGACUGCUUCUGGCCAAGUCGGUCCUCCUCCUGCUGGCAAUUUAGUCCCUGCGACACGUCAAUGCUUUCAUCAUUUAAUUAACUGCUUCGUGUGGCUAAAUGGUCAGGUGGCAACUGCCGGCGAGGAAGGAUGCGCCCACUUUGCAUGCCACGUUUGAUUGAUCGCUCGACUAGGUGCGAAGGAGCUUAACGGGAAAUUCGACUGUCACUUUCCCUUCGCCAGUUGGGAAUUGCGAACAGGCCAGCCGACAGGACCAAGUGAUGUUGGAGAAAUGAGUAGUCGAAGGAAACCAUUGACAGGCCAAAAUGGGGGAAUUCAACACCUAGAUUGGCGUUCUUGGAAUUAAGUUUCAAAAAUAUAUUUGGUUAUCACUAUUUAUUUCUUUUAACCAAUUUAACUUUUUAAAGGAACUUUGCAGCGUAAAGUAUUCUACUCCCACUUAAAAAUCCCGAUUAUUUCUAACCUGAAAUCCCCGAGAGAAAAGCGAGGAAAAUUUCGUCUAUCGCAUUAAGAGAUAAACUUGUGUGUGAAUAAUUUAUGGUUGCCAAACAAGCCAAGCCGAGCCAACAAAAGCGAAAAGUUACGCCACCUCUAUCUGUACUGUGUACUUGUGCAGAUUGAAAAGAAAUCCAGAAGCGAUAUUUGCGUUGAUUUAUGUUUUUAUUUUCAGCAUUAUUUUCGAGUUUAUAUUUAAAACAUUAGACAACGUCAGCGGCGACACAAAAGAGAUAAAAACGCGGAGCCGAGGACUGCAGAAAUAAAACUGCAGUCGCAGCAACAAAAAUCCAAACAAAUGUAGGUGGAAUGUGGCGGAUGGGGAAUGUCGAGCUGAAAAGCGGGCAUAGAUAAAACCGGCGGGUGAAAGGGCAGACAGACAAAUAAAGCGGAAAUGUUAACAGCAACGAAUGGCGCCGGCGACAGCAGAAAGGAUGGGAAAUUCCGAGGGGCACUAGGUGACUUUUCCUCCCACUGAAUUUUCAUUUUGUACACGAUUUCCGCUUAAGCACAUGGGACAAGCCAUCCCAGCUCGAUUUCCCCCAGCCAUGUGCGUAUAAUUUAUGUUGCAAUUUAUAUAUGUAUUUCUCGGUUCCAAUUUUUUUUCUUUUUUUUCGG